UUGCCUGCAUGAAGUCGGAAUUGCUAGUAAUCGUAGGUCAGCAUACUGCCGUGAAUACGUUCCCGGGCCUUGUACACACCGCCCGUCACACCAUGAGAGUUGGGAAUACCCGAAGCCUGUGAGCCAACUUUUAAAGAGGCAACAGUCGAAGGUAGGAUCAAUGAUUGGGGUGAAGUCGUAACAAGGUACC
rnacentral:rRNA from 1 species